rnacentral:pre_miRNA from 1 species
UCAAGUGCUCAGAUGUCUGUGGUGGCUGCUUAUGUAUCACGGAUGUUUGAGCAUGUGCU